CGGCGGCGCGCGCAGCGCGGCUCGGGCCGCUCGGGCUCGGUKCCGCUCCGUUCCCCUCAGGGCCGCCCCGGUCCCGCUGCCUCAGCGCUCCGCUUCCCCGCUUCGGAGCCAUGGACGUGACCAGGGGCUUCUUCGGCAAGUUGCGGGACCUGGCCCUCACGGUGGAGAAGGAGGUGAAGCAGCUGGAGCGGGCCAUGCGCCGGGAGGACGCGGACUAUGAAGAUGAAUCUCCAACAACAGUCUUGCAUGACCUCUAUUGUGAAAUCAAGACUCAAAAGGAUGAUGUUAGUGCCAGUCUUGGUARGAGUUGCUCUGAAAAACAAACAAUUCAUGAGUUUAUGAAGGCAAGUGAAAUACUGAUGCAAAGGAAUGCAGCRGAUCUUGGAAAAAUAAGAGAGCUGUUCCAGAAAUAUGGCUACAAACCACAUGUCAAAGACUCUACAGAAGUAGAGGAAGAAGUUAGUGAAUCCACAGUGUCUGUCCAGAAUAAAUCUUAUGGAGAAAAAGCAAAUGAUGUACCUCAUCUUUCCACUAGUASUGAGAAGCCACCGUUGCCCAAAGACCCACUGCAUAACCUCCAGCUUUCYGAUUUUGGUCUUUCACAAUACGCUUUCUCCAGGCCUUGGAGUGCAGUGAAAGCACAGCACACAUCAAAUGCACAAAAUCAACAAAAGACUCUCGUACUCAACUCAAAGAAUGAGACUCCCUCAAAACUGCGAACACCCCGUGCUUUGCCCGUAACWCCGAAAUGUAGGCUAAAGAUGGAUGAUUAUGAAUGUGUAACACCAAAACUUGAACACUUUGGCAUUAGUGAACAUACCGUGUGUAUGAAUGAAGAUUAUACGAUGUCACUUAUUCAUAAAACUUCUCAGAAAAUCAAAAAGUUGGUUAAAAGAGACAAUAAUGGAGGAAAUUUGCCAGAAAUGACAGUCAGGGAAAUCAUGGUUACUCCUGCAUCAAAAUCAAGUAUGAGAGCUGAGARUGCAGCUGACUGGAUGGCUUCCCCUAUGGUAUUUGUGCUCUGUACUCCUGAUGGGAAGGUCUCUUCCAAAACAAAUAGUACUGUCUUGUCAAGGUCACCAGAGACAAAGGAACUGCCUCUUCCCAGUCAUACAGCAACWCCACAGUGUCCAGAUUUUCAAACAAGAUGGCUAAAAGCAGAAGCUAAGCAGGUAAAACCAGGGGAGAAGACUGAGUCAGUGACAAAGGAUGAUGCAAAAAAUACRCAAUACAAAGAGGACAAAAUUCCUCUUACUGCGAGCUCUGAUGAGUAUCUUAAACAUUUUGAGGACCCUUCUCCUCCRAAAUUGAAACACUAUGACCAAUUACUCAAUACUCCUCCCCCUCCAGAAAUAACAAGGAUACCAGAUGAUGUCCUAAAGAUUCUUUCUCAAUAUAAUCAUAAGGUAGACUUCUCUAACACCAAGGAAAUGGGGACCAAGGUGGAAAAAACUACAAGAUAUGAAAGUGAUUCCACUGAUUAUUGCAACAAAGAGAACAGAGGAUAUCGUGGAGUUUUCAAGCCAAACUUUUGAAAUCAAACCGAAGACUGUGUUCAAACUGUUUCAUAUUUGUGGAUCUUAUCACCAAAUCAUAAGUYAAAAAGCAAAAGGAAAAACUGGUGAGGAAAAAGAAAGCUAUACAAAGAAAAAUCUUUUUUAAUAGAGAAAAAUUCUUUGUCUGUGAUAUGAAUAAACUUGUUUGAACUAACAACUUGUUCUAAAUUUUUUAUUGACAUUGUUGGCAAAAUGAAUUGAGGGUUUCUAAAUAUGUUAYACUUCAGGGAGGAAUACAGAUUCAUAUACAAGGUAGUACUUCAGUUGUUUGUUGUGUAAGAUUACAUUUGCAGUAGGCUACAGAGUGUGCAGUUAGGUUGUAAUAAAASCAAAGUCCUGUAUAUUGCUCAAAGAAGUGGACUUCUCUGGCUGUUCUGGUGACYGUCUACAUAGUGUCAGGUCUGAGGUUGAAGUCUGGUACUUCAACAGUAUUUGGUAUCUUCAACAGAGACAAGCCUUUUUUUAUACUGGCAGAGUAAGUCCUGCUUUACAGUUUAAAGCACUUCUGUGUGUCUAGCUAGUUCUUUCUGCAACGCUGAGAAGUAGCUGACGCAUUCUUGCAUCAGACUAUUACCCCUCUGGCAGACAGGCAUUUUCCAGGCAGUUUCUUAAUGUACAUCAACAUAGUAUCAGGUGCUAUGCAUCUGGUUUCUUUGUAGCCCUAGAGGGUGACUCUGUCCCCACUUUGAGUUACUUGAAAAUGUGCAGUUGAUACUUGUUAUGUGUGUCUUCAACUACUKGAGGAAUUUGCUGCCAGCCGUGUAGGUAAUUGCUUCCUUUCCUGCUGCUGCUGUGUGUGUUCUCUUCAGUCCUGGUGUCGCUUUCAAAUAUGCACAUCUACCCCUGUAGUUGCUAACCAAGAUGAAGUUCUCAGAGCUCUUUGGCACUCUUUUAUCACAGUAACCAGGAUUUUUUUCUACCAGCGCUUUCACUGUUUUCCACUAGAAGACACAGCUAAGUAUCCUUGKUUGGAGCCAAUUGCUGUUUCCAGUGUCAGCUAUUCCUCUGACUCCAGGACUGCUCCUAGCUUUUGUCUUUCAGUUGAUGACUGAAAUUCUGUUAUUUAUAUGAAGGCAAACAUGCAAUACAUGAGAAGGUCCCAGGAGAUGUGGAUAAGUGGAUGUUCUUCUCAAUUCAGCUCUAUUUUUUUUAAGUCUUCAAGAUAUGCAAACAUGUACAGAUGCCCACAAGUAUUUCUUCAAUUGUUUAGACAGACUUGUCCUGGUUAAAAUUUAACAAGUAAAGAUGCCUUUUUUUCUGCUACUACAGUAAUUUUCCAAGAUAAGCAUACAUCAAAUUAACUGGAGAAGGUGAUUUUCUGCUAGUUCUGACCUGAGCACAGUCAUUGAAAAUGCUAAUUUCUGAUGAAAUGUAUGUACUAAUGUGUUAGUCUGUGAAUCUGAUUAAAACUUUUGGAUAAUAAAUAAAUCUGUCUCAAAUGCUUGGUGUCCGCUAUAAGAACACUUACUUGUUCUACCCUUCCUCUUCAGAGAGUGAAAACCAGACUUGGGUCCAGCUAUUUCAUAAAUUAAAAGCACUGGUGGGGUAAAUGUUGGCUCUGGAAUUUCAUGGCCUUGGAAAGGUACAAAGUAUUCUUACUACAGAGCAAGAGCCAGACUUCCACGGCUUGCUGCUGCAGCCRGAGGCCAGGAAACAUGGGCUGGAAACCUGCAGGAGUGAUAUGGGUGUUUGCAACCAGUUAGAGGCAGAGAAAAAUGGCCCUCUGAGAAAGGACAGGGAGAAGGUCCGUCAAGUGUCCCCACCCUGAGCAAGCCUGCCCCUGGUAACACACRAGUCCCUGGGUUCCUCAUAGCAGCAGUAUUUGGAGCAUGGCCUCACACCAGAGGUAACUGCACCAUGGAAAAACAUCCCACCCAUACCACCUCUGGCAGCAAUAAAUCAGUUCCA